UUAAGCAAGAUCAUAUCUUUUUGUUUCUAUGUAGUUCAAGAUUUCACUUUUCCUGUGGUUUCUUUGUUAUUUUCUUUUUCUGGGUGUGUGAGAUAUCUUGUUUUUCAUGUGAAUUAAUUAUUUAUCUUGUCGAUAAGUUCAUUUAUUUGUUGCCUUUUAAACACCAAUUGAGGUUAUUCUAUGAAAUCAUUUCCAAAAAAGAUACCUUCAAGUGAAAAUAGCAGAGUUUUGGUAAGUUUUCUUGACAAGUAGGGAGACUGCUUUUUGUCCUAAGAGUCAUAUGUAGCACUAUACUCGUAUGGGAUUUGAUAUCAAUUAGCACAACUAGUUCUAAAGGUAUAUCCAUUUUGCGAGACUUACCAAGGAGGAAUUAAUACGCAGAUAUUGGAUCAUGUUCAGCAGUAAGGUGAAUGUUAGAUUUUUCAUGUCUUCGAAAAUGUUUCCCGAGAAAUACAGAAGAUGCUUGAGAUAUUUUCUUCAGUGUUUAGUUUUGAUUAAACAUUGUUACAUUAAGGUGGUGUUAUGUGAGCCCUUCCCCGUUAUACAUCUUUACUUCUAUUUUACAAAAUUUUCACCAUCCUCUCCAUCGAGCAUGCAUAGAAGGUGUUGGUCUAAAUGAUUUACCAAUAACCUUUCUCUAACUAGGGAUGUCUAGGAUUAGGACUUUCGAUAAAUCGAGGUCUGCUUGGCAUGAUCCACUCAUGAUCCUCAAAUCCGUUUCUCUGCCUCAAAGAUUUCAUCAUUUUCUUCAAGUGUAUAUACAAAACAAAACUAGAUGGUGAAACAUGCAUUUAUUAAUAUCAGAACUAAUUUACUUAAAAGGAGACAAUCAUAAACUGUGAAUGGAAUUGUUAACAAAAUACCCCAAUCGACUAUUUCCUCAUGUUAUUAGCUUGAUGCUAACAGGUACACUACAGAGCUAUUAGAUUUUUCAUGUCAUAGGUAACAAUGAUUCCUAGGGAAUAGGGGAUGCUCGAUGUGAUUUUUCAAUAUAAAGUUUUGAUAGUAACAUUGUUGUGUCAUAGUGUUAAGGUCUCGUGUAUGAGACAUUCUUGUUUUACAUCUUUAUUUCCAUUUUACAAGACUUACUACAACAAGUUACUGAUACAGAGAUAUCUAUCUUGUCUAGAAGUAAAAGCGAAUGUUAGAUUUUUCAUGUCAGGGGAAAUGAUAUCCUGGGAAAUUGGGGAUGCUUGAUGUAUUUUCUUCAGUAUAAAUGUUUUAUAACAACUUGGCUGUGCCAUUCCAUUAAGCUAUUUUCACUUGAGCCUUUUGUGUUUUACGUCUUUAUUUUCAUUUUACAAAGCUUACUCGUGUAUAUGAGUAAAAGUGGAUAUUAGACUUUUUAUGUCGUAGGAAAUAGGGUUUCCUGAGAUAUAGGAGAUGCUUGAUGUAUUUCUUCAAUAUUAAGUUUUUAAUAAUGUUGCUGUUUGAUCGUUAAGGUGUCAUUACGUAAGCCUUUAAUUAUUUCACAUCUUUUUUUUUAUUGUACAAAACUCACUUUACUCCUGCUAAUAAGAAGAUAUUGAGCAUGUGCUGAAGUACUUUCCUGUCAUAGGAGUGAUCAGUGGAUCUUUCCUGUCAUAGGAGUGAUCAGUGAUGUUUCCUACUAAAAGGAGAUUGUUGAUGUAUUUUCUACAAAUAUUUGGUUUCAAUAACAAUGUUAUUGUAUCAUUGCCUUAAGGUUGCUUUUCUUGCUUUACAUUCCUAUUUCCAUUUCACAAAAUUUUCUGCUACUGUUACUAAUAUGGAGUAAUUGGUCAUGCAUUGAAGUACAAUUUGAUAUUGUGUUUUCAAGACACAGGAAUGUUGUUUCCUACGAAAUAGGAUUGAUAAAUUUUUGUUGAAUAGUUUUGAUAGCAACAUUGCUGCAUCAUUGCAUUAAGGUGUUGAUUUGUGAGCCUUACAAACUUAAUAACAGAUACUAACACAGAGAUAUUGAUAUUGUCUAGAAGUAAAAAUGGAAAGACCUUUUUUUUUUCUUUUCGUGGAUGAUGGUGGUGUCCGGGCCAGCUUGCGCACACCUCAACUAUUCCAUCGGUUACCUUCUACCUCCCAUCAGCACAGUUUUCAGCCCGGGAAUGACAACAUCUGUCCAGGAAGUUUUUGAAACACGGUGUUCUUCCCUUAAAUUCCUGGGUGAAACGAUCCCAACCAGGAGAAGUAUCGAAGUGAGUUUUGCAUCAUAGGAUGAGAGGAAGCUGAAGAUGGUACAGGUAAAAAAAGGUUAAUGGAACACGGUCUGGUAUCACCUGAGAGAGAAAAGAAGGUACUAGAGAAAAAAAAGCAGAGGAAGCAAAACCAAAUUCGCACAGGGACCCGUGUCAAGUCUCUGCCACCACUAAUCUCGAGCAAACCUCAGAGUUCCAAAGUGCUGCAGCAAGAAUCAAAGAAUGGCGAUGUAAAAUCAAAAACACGAUUAAAACUGAUAACAAUGACGAAGAUGAUUUCAUACUUAGUCCAACGAGGAGAAAAGGGUAAGAACGAAUGCUCAUUUCCUUGUGCAGUCAUGUAUUGAAUAGAAAUUGGGCUGUCUUGAAAACUUCAAAAAGGAUUUGAUGGAGUGCAUUCUUUUAUUCUUGAUUCAUGGAAAUGAAUAAGUGAAUUAUAGUUGAUAUAAACCACAGUUUAAUGUUAUAUAGUAAAAUGUUUCAUGUGACUUGUUAUAGUUGCACAUAAACCACAGUUUUAGUGUUAUAAAGCACAACGUUUCAUGUAACUUGUUUAGUUUGCCUUAUGUUGUUAAUUUUUAAGUUACAGGAAAUAGACACAUCUCAGAGUUCAUUACAAAUUUCUGACAAGCGAUCAGUUUCCAACCGAAUAAGUGAGGAAGAAAGAUAAAAAAAUCAUUGUUUUUCUUCUUCCACUUCUUAUAAUGUGAUAUAGUGACCAUCAGGUCAAGUAUAGUAACAGUUUAUAUAGUAUCUUACCAUUUCUUCUGAGAGACCUUCCCAGCGAUCUUGAUAUUACUUCCCGACUAAUUAUCAAAGUUGUCUGAUUAAGUCAGAUGGCCUGUGUAGUUGAUUUUUUAUUUGUUUCAGACGUUCAGUCAUUUCACGGAUGAGCAAGCUAAGGCUGCUGCACAUAAAUAUUAUGCGUACAUGUAAAGCUUACUGUUCAUGGUAGUCCUUACAUGUCUUUAAUACUCAAUGGCAUGGAUAGCUGCUGCUGCAUUCAGAUAAAAGGAACAUGGAUUUAUGAUGCAAAUGAGAACAUAUACCAUAAGAUUCAUCAACAUGAAGUUAAGUUUGAUCUUGACAUUGUCUUAUUCAUGCGAUGACAUGAACCAUGUUAUUUGUUCCUGACAUAUAACAUUUUGUACCUUUGAUCGUUGGAUUCCCCAAUGAAGAUGGUGAAGGGGUAAGAAGCUCUGACCCUUAUGUGUUUUAUUGCAAGCAUUGAAAUUUUAUUGGUGCAUUUAUUUCAGGAGACAAGAAAAUUAACUCCAUUGCACGGUAAGCAUUUAAUGUGUAGGAGACCAAUCCCAUUCUUGAUUUGGUAAACUUAGAAAUAAACUCUCACUUCUUGACAUUUUCUAAUUUUCACUACCUGCAUCCUGUUGUUUUGCAAGUUAAAUAAAGCCAAAAACAUGAAGUUAAAUGUUGAUGGUGGUGUUGGGCUAAACCGCCCCAAAGAUAUUCUUAACAUGAUGUGAUAUUGCCCUCUUUUCACCAAACCUGCACGGUUUUCUCCAAAAGACCUCACACCAUUAAGAGAUCCCUACACCCCACCUAGCUACUCUAGGUUGGGGGUAGGCCCCGGGGGAGAAGUUAUAGACACCUUUCCAUACUUCGUAUCUGGAGUACUUCGUCUAAUUUCUUCUGCAGUACUGGGCUUUGCUUACUAUACUUGCUGCUGUAGCAUUAUAAACAGUAUUGUUACUCUUGCUGCCGUCGGGAUAAAUCUGACCCCUUCCCCACGUAUCCGCCUACGUAUAUAAGGAUAUUUUAAGAAGUGAACAUCCUUCUUAGUAGCAGGGUCCUGGGAAACUUUUAAGCUAUCAAUGUGGGACUUUGUUCGCACACACGACAAGUGGGUAGAAGAGAUUUCUGCUACAUCAGAAGGUAGAAAGGUUAAGAGUGUCAAUUGUUGACAAAAGCGAUAGCUAGUGAUUCAUGGUUAACAUAUUCUCAUUGUCUCAAAGUCCAAGGUAAUCUCUUAAGUCAAUUGUAAUGUCCUUGAUUAUUGGUGACCACUACUUAGACUGAAUAAAGUUAAAAGCAUUUAUUGGAUUAUUAUCUGGUAAAACAUCAAUAUCUAUAUGGUACUGUUGAUGGAGAUGUUGCAGACAUAUAAGAGGAUACAAGUCAAAGUUAGGGAUUAAUUUACUGCUCUUUUAUGUGAGUUGUCCUUGUCUUCUUCACUCUUCUUGUAAGCCUUUUUAUGGCUCUUUCGUUCUCUAAUAGUUUCUUAUCACAAGUAUUUUCGGUCCUUCACUGGAUAAUUAAUGAAUGCAGGUACCUUCUUCUGCUUUAGAUAUCUUUCUCUUACUCUUCUUUUUUCUUUUUUAUAACAGUUGUGUCAGGAUGAUCUUGCGCGUACUUCGACUAUUCAUUAGGUAUUUGGUACAUUUCAUCAGCAUAUGCACCGGAUAACUCUAUCCGUCAAGAUUCAAAUGAGUAGGAAGAAAUCAUCUAGUGUUUUUUUCCUAUGUUGGAUUUGAACCUUGGUCUUUCAUGGUUUACACCCAAUUUAUUGUCUUUCCUUUGGGUUAUUCAUUCUCUAUUUUUGACAGGCAUGAAUAUUAAAAUAAGAUUGAAAAAUCAGAGUUUGAUGUUGA